rnacentral:lncRNA from 1 species
UGGGAAGAUGCUGUGCCUCGAGGAUUAGUUUAAACAGGGGGCUAUAAAAGAUGUAACAGAUGCAAACUGUAACACAAGGGCCAUUAACCCUUUCUCUGCCGGGCACACUCAGUCCCCACGCCCCACACCUAUUGUCUCCUGUGCUAGAAGCUUUGCAGAAAACCUGGAAAGGGAAAUCCUGAAAUAAAGAAAUGGUCACACAAGUGUCUGGGAUGAAACAGCUGGCCUGUCUAUAUUCAUCCUGAGACACACGACUGCAUAUAAAUACAUGUUUAAUAAAUUUUGGCCAGAAAUGGUGAGAAGAAAAAGCAUGAAGAAGCCGCGAAGUGUGGGGGAGAAAAAGGUGGAAGCGAAGAAACAGCUCCCGGAGCAAACUGUACAAAAACCUCGCCAAGAGUGUCGGGAGGCAGGACCGUUAUUCCUGCAGAGCAGGAGAGAGACGAGAGACCCUGAAACACGCGCCACCUAUCUUUGUGGGGAGGGAUAAUUGAAGCGCCCUGAGCGUACCAGAGCCAGAAAAAAAAAUGCUGCAUGGGAGCUGCAUCUUAGGGCAUGUGUAUUAGGGUGUGUGC